rnacentral:rRNA from 1 species
GAUGAACGCUGGCGGCGUGCCUAAUACAUGCAAGUCGAACGCACAACCCAGUAGCUUGCUCCACUGACGUUAGCCGCGGACGUAUGAGUAACACGUGCUUCCCCUGCCUCUAAGACUGGUAUAACUUCUUGAAACCGAUGCUAAUACCGGCUGAUAUCUUCAACCGCAUGUUUCGAUAAGGGAUUCCGGUUUUGCUUUCACUUGUAGCUUGAUCCCCGCCGCGUUAGCUAGUUGGUUAGCUAACGGCUUACCAAGACGACGCUGGGUAGCCGACCUGAGAGAGUGAUAGGCCACAUGGGAAGGGAGACAGGGUCCAGACGACUACGAGAGGCAGCAGUAGGGAAUGUGCCGCAAUGGGCGAAAGUAUGACGGAGCAAGGCCGCGUGAGUGAUGAAGGUCUUCGGAGCGUAAAAAUCGGUUAUGAGGGAAGAACAAAUGUGUAAGGAAAUAUGCACGAAGUGACGGUACCUAAUCAGAAAGCCACGGCUAACUACGUG